rnacentral:sRNA from 1 species
ACAAAAAGAAGGAAAAAAAAAAAACUGACAAGU